rnacentral:rRNA from 1 species
GAUGAACGCUGGCGGCGUGCCUAAUACAUGCAAGUCGAGCGAACAGACGAGGAGCUUGCUCCUCUGACGUUAGCGGCGGACGGGUGAGUAACACGUGGAUCACCUACCUAUAAGACUGGGAUAACUUCGGGAAACCGGCGCUAAUACCGGAUAAUAUAUUGAACCGCAUGGUUCAAUAGUGAAAGACGGUUUUGCUGUCACGUAUAGAUGGAUCCGCGCCGCAUUAGCUAGUUGGUAAGGUAACGGCUUACCAAGGCGACGAUGCGUAGCCGACCUGAGAGGGUGAUCGGCCACACUGGAACUGAGACACGGUCCAGACUCCUACGGGAGGCAGCAGUAGGGAAUCUUCCGCAAUGGGCGAAAGCCUGACGGAGCAACGCCGCGUGAGUGAUGAAGGUCUUCGGAUCGUAAAACUCUGUUAUUAGGGAAGAACAAAUGUGUAAGUAACUAUGCACGUCUUGACGGUACCUAAUCAGAAAGCCACGGCUAACUACGUG